rnacentral:tmRNA from 2 species
GGGGGUGAUCCGGUUUCGACGGUACGGUCGAAGCGCUUGUUGCAUUCCGCGGCGGAGCUAACCGCGUUACAAACUGGCCAAAACAACUAGUUGGCAACACCAACUUUGAACUGGCUGCUGCUUAAUCCAGCAACCCGUGAAACUGCCGCCCGGUCCCGAGGCGUCAGCGUAGCGUAAACUUUUCGGGCUGGUCCGCAGACUGCCCGACCUGCGGAUGAGAUAAGGGCUGCUGGCCUUACUCCGAGUGUCAACGGAUGCGGGGUCUGGCCCUAAGACAAUCCCGCUGACUAUGAAUGUAGACGCAGGCAGGGACAUCGUAUCGGACGGGGGUUCGACUCCCCCCACCUCCACCA